rnacentral:lncRNA from 1 species
CUUGGAAGGAUAAGGCCCAGGUGCUCGAAAUGGAAAAUGAAGAACUUCAGAGACAGUUAAAGGAGCAGAGUGGAGAAGAUCGUGCAGGUAAACGUCCAAGGGUGCAAGAGGAUUUAUUUUCCUCAGGCACAACAGAUUACUCCCAGAUUCCACAGUCCUCAGGUGCAUGGAAAGGUCUUGUAGACAGUUUGGUGAAGGAGAAAGCUUU